rnacentral:rRNA from 1 species
CAACAGGGAUUGCCCUAGUAACGGCGAGUGAAGCGGCAACAGCUCAAAUUUGAAAUCUGGCCUUUGGUCCGAAUUGUAAUUUGUAGAGGAUGCUUUUGGUGCGGUGCCUUCCGAGUUCCCUGGAACGGGACGCCUUAGAGGGUGAGAGCCCCGUACGGUUGGAUGCCUAGCCUCUGUAAAGCUCCUUCAACGAGUCGAGUAGUUUGGGAAUGCUGCUCAAAAUGGGAGGUAAAUUUCUUCUAAAGCUAAAUACCGGCCAGAGACCGAUAGCGCACAAGUAGAGUGAUCGAAAGAUGAAAAGCACUUUGAAAAGAGGGUUAAAUAGCACGUGAAAUUGUUGAAAGGGAAGCGCUUAUGACCAGACUUUUUCCUGGCGGAUCAUCCAGUGUUCUCACUGGUGCACUUCGCCUGGUUUAGGCCAGCAUCGAUUUCCGUAGGGGGAUAAAAGCUUUGGGAAUGUGGCUCCUCCGGGAGUGUUAUAGCCCUUUGUAUAAUACCUUUAUGGGGAUCGAGGUACGCGCUUCUGCAAGGAUGCUGGCGUAAUGGUCAUCAGCGACCCGUCUG